AUCGUUUACAGCGCGACACUAAUGUGUAAAGUUUGUAAUUUAAGUAAUCUGUAAGUUAUUUAAAAUGUGUCAUGUGUUUCAUACGAUCAUAGAAGUCGAGUUGCUUCAAUCUUUUAUGCUUUAUUUUCAUUUUUGAGUUAGUUCAGAGUGUUACAGCAAGCUAGCAAACAUGUAUUAAGUUUGCUAGCUUGCUGAACUAUGUAUUUUUUUUGUUAGGCAUGUGACCAAAUGAUGAGUGUUUUCUGUUCUUUUGCUGAACCUCUGAACAGACAUUAGAAUGUUCUAGAUCUGGCUGAGACCGGCAUGUGACCAAAUGAUGAAUGUUUUCUGCUCUUUUGCUGAACCUCUGAACAGAAAUAAAAGUCCUGUGUCAAGAAACGAACACGUCCUGGUCCUCAUCCAUGUUUAGACACAACGCAGAGAAAACCAUCACCAGAGAGAGACUGGUUACACUGGCUGAUCGUAGUGGUAAUGGUGGAUCCUGUGUCGCGUUGGCGUCAUAUAAUGGUGGUGGACCAGGGCCGAGGUGGUGGAUGAUGAUGGAUCCUAACUGGCGGCAGUGGACAAUGACUGUGGACUAUAGUGGAUCUGGUCUGGAUGGUGGAUCAUGGUCCUGCUGGUUACUGACCAGAGACUAUGAUGCAGCAGGACUGAUUAACAUAUAGUAUUGAAGUUAUCCUUCAAGAUGUUUACCCUCAUCAAUGCUGCUAACAACUUUAAUCCUGAUGAUGUUUCCUUCACUUGACAUCUGUUGACUUGUGUCCGUCCUGGGAGACGGGUCCUCACAUGUGUCUCUGAGGUUUCUGUGUAUUUGUACCUGUUAAGAGUUUUUUAGUAGUUUGUCCUGACUCUUGUUGAGGGUGAAGGACAGAGGAUGUCUCACCAUGUUAAAGCCUAUGAGACAAACUGUGAUUCUUGAAUAUGGGCUAUACAAAUAAAGUUUGAUUGAUUGAUCUCCUGGGAAGUUACCUACCACACACAAUAAAUAAAAAAAGAGCUUCACAUUAAA